AGAAAGAUGUCUGAGAGGUUUAAAGAGGUAAAUUGCUAAUUUAUUGGUCAAGGGUUCGAAUCCCUUUCUUUCUU
rnacentral:tRNA from 1 species